rnacentral:rRNA from 1 species
UACGUAGGGGGCAAGCGUUGUCCGGAAUCAUUGGGCGUAAAGAGCGCGUAGGCGGCCCUGUAAGUCCGCUGUGAAAGUCAAGGGCUCAACCCUUGGAUGCCGGUGGAUACUGCAGGGCUAGAGUCCGGAAGAGGCGAGUGGAAUUCCUGGUGUAGCGGUGAAAUGCGCAGAUAUCAGGAGGAAUACCGAUGGCGAAGGCAGGUCUCUGGGCUGACACUGACGCUCAUGCACGAAAGCGUGGGGAGCGAUCCGG